AUUGAACGCUGGCGGCGUGCUUAACACAUGCAAGUCGAACGAUGAAAGCGGGAGCUUGCUCCUGCUGGAUUAGUGGCGAACGGGUGAGUAACACGUGAGCAAUCUGCCCCGAACUCUGGGAUAAGCGUUGGAAACGACGUCUAAUACCGGAUACGACGCGCGAAGGCAUCUUCUGCGCGUGGAAAGAACUUCGGUUCGGGAUGAGCUCGCGGCCUAUCAGCUAGUUGGUGAGGUAACGGCCCACCAAGGCGACGACGGGUAGCCAGCCUGGGAGGGUGUCCGGCCACACUGGGACUGAGACACGGCCCAGACUCCGACGGGAGGCAGCAGUGGGGAAUAUUGCACAAUGGGCGCAAGCCUGGUGCAGCAACGCCGCGUGAGGGACGACGGCCUUCGGGUUGUAAACCUCUUUUAGCAGGGAAGAAGCGAAAAUGACGGUACCUGCAGAAAAAGCACCGGCUAACUACGUGCCAGCCGCCGCGGUAACAC
rnacentral:rRNA from 1 species